rnacentral:rRNA from 1 species
CAAACUGGAGAUGGCGACCGGCGCACGGGUGAGUAACACGUAUCCAACCUGCCAAUAACUCGGGGAUAGCCUUUCGAAAGAAAGAUUAAUACCCGAUGGCAUAAUAGAACCGCAUGGUUUGAUUAUUAAAGAAUUUCGGUUAUCGAUGGGGAUGCGUUCCAUUAGGCAGUUGGUGGGGUAACGGCCCACCAAACCUUCGAUGGAUAGGGGUUCUGAGAGGAAGGUCCCCCACAUUGGAACUGAGACACGGUCCAAACUCCUACGGGAGGCAGCAUG